rnacentral:rRNA from 1 species
UACGGAGGAUCCAAGCGUUAUCCGGAAUCAUUGGGUUUAAAGGGUGCGUAGGCGGCCCUGUAAGUCAGUGGUGAAAUACUCCAGCUUAACUGGAGGGGUGCCAUUGAUACUGCAGGGCUUGAGUUAAGUUGAAGUUGGCGGAAUUGACGGUGUAGCGGUGAAAUGCUUAGAUAUCGUCAAGAACACCGAUAGUGAAGACAGCUAACUAAACUUUUACUGACGCUGAGGCACGAAAGUGUGGGGAUCAAACAGG